UAUAGGUUUGGUCCCAGCCUUCCUGUUAACUUUCAAUAGACUUAUACAUGCAAGCAUCCACGCCCCGGUGAGUAACGCCCUUCGAAUCACACAGGACUAAAAGGAGCAGGUAUCAAGCACACACUCUUGUAGCUCACAACGCCUUGCUUAACCACACCCCCACGGGAGACAGCAGUAACAAAAAUUAAGCCAUAAACGAAAGUUUGACUAAGCCAUAUUGACCAGGGUUGGUAAAUCUCGUGCCAGCCACCGCGGUCAUACGAUUGACCCAAGCUAACAGGAGUACGGCGUAAAGCGUGUUAAAGCAUCAUACUAAAUAGAGUUAAAUUUUAAUUAAACUGUAAAAAGCCAUAAUUAUAACAAAAAUAAAUGACAAAAGUAACCCUACAAUAGCUGAUACACCAUAGCUAAGACCCAAACUGGGAUUAGAUACCCCACUAUGCUUAGCCCUAAACACAAAUAAUUAU
rnacentral:rRNA from 1 species